UACGUAGGCAGCAAGCGUUGUUCGGAGUUACUGGGCGUAAAGGGUGCGUAGGCGGUCCUAUAAGUAUGGUGUGAAAUUUCCCGGCUUAACUGGGAGGGUGCGCUAUAGACUGUGGGACUAGAGUGUGGGAGAGGAAAGUGGAAUUCCUGGUGUAGCGGUGAAAUGCGUAGAUAUCAGGAGGAACACCGGUGGUGUAAACGGCUUUCUGGACCAUAACUGACGCUGAGGCACGAAAGCGUGGGUAGCAAACAGG
rnacentral:rRNA from 1 species